rnacentral:rRNA from 1 species
UCUUUCGGCCGGGAAAGAAAUCGGCGACUCUAACAUAGUCGCUGGAUGACGGUACCGGACUAAGAAGCACCGGCUAACUACGUGCCAGCAGCCGCGGUAAUACGUAGGGUGCAAGCGUUAAUCGGAAUUACUGGGCGUAAAGCGUGCGCAGGCGGUUAUGUAAGACAGAGGUGAAAUCCCCGGGCUCAACCUGGGAACGGCCUUUGUGACUGCAUAGCUAGAGUACGGUAGAGGGGGAUGGAAUUCCGCGUGUAGCGGUGAAAUGCGUAGAUAUGCGGAGGAACACCGAUGGCGAAGGCAAUCCCCUGGGCCUGCACUGACGCUCAUGCACGAAAGCGUGGGGAGCAAACAGGAUUAGAUACCCUGGUAGUCCACGCCCUAAACGAUGUCAACUGGUUGUUGGGUCUCUUCUGACUCAGUAACGAAGCUAACGCGUGAAGUUGACCGCCUGGGGAGUACGGCCGCAAGGUUGAAACUCAAAUGAAUUGACGG